UACGGAGGAUCCGAGCGUUAUCCGGAUUUAUUGGGUUUAAAGGGUGCGUAGGCGGCCUGUUAAGUCAGGGGUGAAAGACGGUAGCCUCAACUAUCGCAGUGCCCUUGAUACUGAUGGGCUUGAAUGUACUAGAGGUAGGCGGAAUGUGACAAGUAGCGGUGAAAUGCAUAGAUAUGUCACAGAACACCAAUUGCGAAGGCAGCUUACUAUGGUAUUAUUGACGCUGAGGCACGAAAGCGUGGGGAUCAAACAGGG
rnacentral:rRNA from 1 species